rnacentral:rRNA from 1 species
AUUCCAGCUCCAAUAGCGUAUAUUUAAGUUGUUGCAGUUAAAAAGCUCGUAGUUGGAUUUCGGAUGGGUUUGACCGGUCCGCCUUUGGUGUGCACUGGUCGCGCCUAUCUUGCUGUCGGGGACGCGCUCCUGGCCUUAAUUGGCUGGGACGCGGAGUCGGCGAUGUUACUUUGAAAAAAUUAGAGUGUUCAAAGCAGGCCUAAGCUCUGAAUACAUUAGCAUGGAAUAACGCUAUAGGACUCUGGUCUUAUUGCGUUGGUCUUCGAGACCGGAGUAAUGACUAAGAGGGACAGUUGGGGGUAUUUGUAUUCCAUAGUCAGAGGUGAAAUUCUUGGAUUUAUGGAAGACAAACUAAUGCGAAAGCAUCUACCAAGGAUGUUUUCAUUA